CUCGUUAGGAAGGGUUUCAGCAUGGAAAUGCGUAUUAAAUUUACACUUGACUUCACACAAACUCUAAUAAACAACAACAACAACAAGACUUCACACAAAGAAGAUUACAUGCAGAAAAUGCCAAGGAUAUAAACUUACGAAGAGGAAAAAGGUGAAACACAAGUUUGAAAUGCCACCACGAAUCAGCCCCCUUAAGGAUGCCAUGCAUCAUGCUGUUUCGAAGACUGACAAGACAUUCAAAUUAGACGUGAAGUAUAUAAAUGCAGAGAAAGGAUGUGGUGUAUUCGCAAAGAGUUCCUUUUGCAAAGGUGAUUUUGUUGUUGAGUACAGGGGAGAUAUGAUAAAUGAUGCAGAACUGCAGAGGAGAAGAAAACGUUACCAUGCAUCCUAUGCUGCGUUUAUGUUUGAUUUCAAGUGGUGAGGGAAAACAUGGUGUAUUGAUGCCUCAAGAGAAGAUGGAUCCUUCGGGCGGAUAGUUAAUGAUGACCACAAACAUCCAAAUUGUAAGAUGAAGAAAACUGAUGUGAAUGGAAAGCCACACCUUUGUCUGUUUGCCCUUAAUGACAUUAAAGAAGGAGAAGAAAUUACCUAUGAUUAUGGAGGAGAAGACUACCCAUGGAGAACACAAAUGAGCAGCAUUGCUGUUGAUACCAGUACAGGUGAUUCUGAUCUCUCCGGUCAGAGACUCGGGUGGACGAUGAAUCUGCUCAUAUCAGCUCUCCUCAACUGGUGCGUUCAUGUUCAUCACUAAAGAUUCAGCUCUGCUGUCUCUCUUUGCCCUAUUUAGUGUGUUUAAAGCAUAUUUUGAUGCGUAUCAGGCGUAAAUUACUACACCAAACGGUUUAAAGAUAUGUGUCCUGUAGCUUAGUGGUAGUGGAGUGUAGGGCAUCGCUCGACAGAACUUACCAAUGAUUUUAUCAAUGAACAGCGUGAUCGAACAAAGCUUCAUUUGACAAAGGAUUCAUUUGCUGACACCAAAAUCCCUGGGGGCACUGGAUAGCUCCUAAUUCCAGCUAGUCAGCAUUAAGAGAAGUGGUAACGUGACUUAGGAACAGAGAAUAUCUGUUCUGAGGCCUUCCUGAUCACAUUAAAUUUAUAGACGCUCACAAAACCCUUUUGUAUCAAACAAACAGAACAGGAAACACUAAUUAAUCAGACCUGAAAAAAACAACGGAUCCACACAGACAUCCUCCUGAUUAGGAGUCCGUUUUGACCCGGUCACU